CCUACGGGAGGCAGCAGUGGGGAAUAUUGCACAAUGGGGGAAACCCUGAUGCAGCGACGCCGCGUGAGUGCAGAAGUAUUUCGGUAUGUAAAGCUCUAUCAGCAGGGAAGAAAAUGACGGUACCUGAUUAAGAAGCACCGGCUAACUACGUGCCAGCAGCCGCGGUAAUACGUAGGGGGCAAGGGUUACGCGGAUUUACUGGGUGUAAAGGGAGCGUAGCCGGUGAUGCAAGUCAGAAGUGAAAGCCCGGGGCUCAACGCCGGGACUGCUUUGGAAACUGUGUGACUGGAGUGAAGGAGAGGUAAGCGGAAUUCCUGGUGUAGCGGUGAAAUGCGUAGAUAUCAGGAGGAACACCAGUGGCGAAGGCGGCUUACUGGACUGUAACUGACGUUGAGGCUCGAAAGCGUGGGGAGCAAACAGGAUUAGAGACCCGGGUAGUC
rnacentral:rRNA from 1 species